UGAUGCAGCGACGCCGCGUGAGGGAUGACGGCCUUCGGGUUGUAAACCUCUUUCAGUAGGGAAGAAGCGAAAGUGACGGUACCUGCAGAAGAAGCACCGGCUAACUACGUGCCAGCAGCCGCGGUAAUACGUAGGGUGCGAGCGUUAUCCGGAAUUAUUGGGCGUAAAGAGCUCGUAGGCGGUUUGUCGCGUCUGUCGUGAAAGUCCGGGGCUUAACCCCGGAUCUGCGGUGGGUACGGGCAGACUAGAGUGCAGUAGGGGAGACUGGAAUUCCUGGUGUAGCGGUGGAAUGCGCAGAUAUCAGGAGGAACACCGAUGGCGAAGGCAGGUCUCUGGGCUGUAACUGACGCUGAGGAGCGAAAGCAUGGGGAGCGAACAGGAUUAGAUACCCUGGUAGUCCAUGCCGUAAACGUUGGGCACUAGGUGUGGGGACCAUUCCACGGUUUCCGCGCCGCAGCUAACGCAUUAAGUGCCCCGCCUGGGGAGUACGGCCGCAAGGCUAAAACUCAAAGGAAUUGACGGGGGCCCGCACAAGCGGCGGAGCAUGCGGAUUAAUUCGAUGCAACGCGAAGAACCUUACCAAGGCUUGACAUGUUCUCGAUCGCCGUAGAGAUACGGUUUCCCCUUUGGGG
rnacentral:rRNA from 1 species